rnacentral:rRNA from 1 species
CCCACUAUGCCUAGCUAUAAAAUAUUAACCCACACUUAAACCGCCAGGGAAUUACGAGCCCAAACUUAAAACCCAAAGGACUUGACGGUGUCCCAUCCCCCUAGAGGAGCCUGUUCUAUAAUCGAUUCUCCCCGAUCUACCUCACCACUUCUUGAAUCCACAGUCUGUAUACCUCCGUCGCAAGCUUACCGCAUGAACGUACCCAGUAAGCCAAAAGAUUUAUUAUCCAUACGUCAGGUCAAGGUGCAGCCCACGAAGCGGAAAGAAAUGGGCUACAAUCUCUACAUUAGAACAAACGGAAGACUGUAUGAAACACAGCUACUAAAGGCGGAUUUAGAAGUAAAAAGAAAAUAGAGAGUUCUUUUUAACUAGGCACUGGGACGCGUACACACCGCCCGUCACCCUCUUCAAACAACAAACCAAAAAGUUACUAACACUACAUAAUUAUUUAGAAGAGGCAAGUCGUAACAUGGUAAGCGUACUGGAAAGUGCACUUGGAACAAAAUAUAGCUUAAUAAAAGUAUCUUGCUUACACUAAGAACAUGCCAGCAACCCCUGGCUAUUUUGAGCCUGACCCACAGCCCUUCUAACCGCUAUAAAAUUAUCCCCAUAAUGACUAACUAAAACAUUCUUUCAACCAAGUAAAGGCGAUUAAAAAGUUUUUAGGAGCCCUAACACCAGUACCGCAAGGGAAAAAUGAAAUAAAAAAUGAAAUAAAUUUAAAGCACCAUAAGUAGAGAGAGCCCUCGUAC